CAUAACCCGAGCCGAAGGCAGAUGCACAACCGACUGAGCCACCCAGGCUCCAUCCAUGCCCAGCCCGGAGCCCAAUGAGGGGCUUGAACUCAAUGAUCCUGAAAUCAGCCUGAGCUGAGAUCAAGAGUCGGGCGAUUAACCAACCGAACAACCCAGAAACCAAGUGUUUUGCCCGUGGUGCUUUCCCCAGACUGUCUUCUCAUAGUGCAUUGAACAUGUUCUGUCACCACACAUAAGAAUUUCUCUUUGUCGGCAUCCAAAUCGGCAAAGAGGAAGUCAAACUCUCACUCUUUGCAGAUGAUAUGAUACUGUAUGUGGAAAACCCAAAAGACUCCACCCCAAAACUGCUA